rnacentral:rRNA from 1 species
UACGGUAGGGGGCAAGCGUUGUCCGGAUUUAUUGGGCGUAAAGAGCUCGUAGGCGGUUUGGUAAGUCUGGUGUGAAAUCUCCAGCGCCUCAACGUGGAGGGGCCACCCGAUACUGCCAUGACUGGAGUCCGGUAGAGGAGUGUGGAAUUCCCGAUGAUAGCGGUGAAAUGCGCAGAUAAUCGGGAGGAACACCAAUGGCGAAGGCAGCUCGCUGGGACGGUACGUGAACGCGUGGAGA